rnacentral:tRNA from 1 species
AGUUAAAUAGCUUAUUUAAAGCAUGUAUUUUGAAAAUACAAGAUAAAGACAUAAAAACCUUUUUAACUU